UUCAAUAGCUAACAUUAGCCAUAUCAUUUGGACAUGCUCAAAAUGAUUAAGACUCUAUACAUGCCAUAGUUUAAACAUUAUGAAAAGCACAUAAUACCGAGAUGGUUAUGAUAGUGUGAUACGAGCUCCGACGGUCCACUAUUCGAUCAAGUUCAAAUCACUAUAAAACAAAGGAAAGAAAGAGAUGUGUAAGCUAUAAAUAGCUUAGUAAGUUACAUGUAAACAAUAAUUACUCAAUUAAUAAUUAACACUUUUAACAUAUAACUAAUCAAAACAUUUCUUAGCAAUUUCAAUCACUUACACAUACACAAUCUUACCAAUUCACUUGCAUAUAGAUUUUCACACUUAACAUUUCAUAUUCACUUUAAUUCAUUAUUAAUCCCGUUGAACACUUGGAAUAUACACGGAUACGUAGAGAUUUAGCACAUAAGUGCCACACUGAUAUGUAGCCGAAGCUACCACUGAUAUGUAGCCGAAGCUACCACUGGAUGUAGCCAAAGCUACCACUGAAAUGUAGCCGAAGCUACCACUGAUCAAUAACACUGGAAAUGUCCACGGGUCUGCUCACAUAAGCUGUCAGGUGUCUGCAACACAUGCUAGAUCACCCAGCACCCGGGACUCAUUGUAACACUGUAACACUGGUCUCUAGUGACAUGUCACUUGUAUCCAAUUCUAUUCCUAAGUUCAACCGGGAAUUUACACUUAACACUUUAUUUUCAACACUUUAUCACUUGAAUAAUUCAUGAACAACUUUCCUUCCACAUUCAAUAUUAAUUCACAUAUCAAAUAUAAUUCACAAUUUAUACAAAUAUAACUAUUAUUUACAUAUAACUUACCUCGGAUGCAAAACGACUAUUUUUGUAAUUUAGUCGAUAACUUUCUCUUUUCCCCGAUCACUUGCACUAUUUCUUCUUUCUUGAUAAUUGAGCUUAGGAAAAUCAAAACCCUUAACUAUGGUAACCUGAAACUUUCGGCAGCAAGCUUCUG
rnacentral:lncRNA from 1 species